rnacentral:rRNA from 1 species
AUACAUGCAAGUCGAACGCGUCUUGGUCAAUGAUUUUAGGUGCUUGCACUUGACUGAUUUGACAUUGAGACGAGUGGCGAACUGGUGAGUAACACGUGGGUAACCUGCCCUUGAAGUAGAGGAUAACACUUGGAAACAGGUGCUAAUACUGCAUAACAACGAAAACCGCCUGGUUUUCGUUUGAAAGAUGGCUUCGGCUAUCGCUUUAGGAUGGACCCGCGGCGUAUUAGCUAGUUGGUGAGGUAACGGCUCACCAAGGCAAUGAUACGUAGCCGACCUGAGAGGGUAAUCGGCCACAUUGGGACUGAGACACGGCCCAAACUCCUACGGGAGGCAGCAGUAGGGAAUCUUCCACAAUGGACGAAAGUCUGAUGGAGCAACGCCGCGUGAGUGAUGAAGGGUUUCGGCUCGUAAAACUCUGUUGUUGGAGAAGAACGGGUGUCAGAGUAACUGUUGACAUCGUGACGGUAUCCAACCAGAAAGCCACGGCUAACUACGUGCCAGCAGCCGCGGUAAUACGUAGGUGGCAAGCGUUGUCCGGAUUUAUUGGGCGUAAAGCGAGCGCAGGCGGUUUUUUAGGUCUGAUGUGAAAGCCUUCGGCUUAACCGGAGAAGUGCAUCGGAAACCGGGAGACUUGAGUGCAGAAGAGGACAGUGGAACUCCAUGUGUAGCGGUGAAAUGCGUAGAUAUAUGGAAGAACACCAGUGGCGAAGGCGGCUGUCUGGUCUGCAACUGACGCU